rnacentral:rRNA from 1 species
CAAUAGCGUAUAUUAAAGUUGUUGCAGUUAAAAAGCUCGUAGUUGGAUUUCUGGUGGGAGCGACCGGUCGGCGCUUAACGGCGUGUGCACUGGAGUUGUCUCUUGCCAUCCUUGAGGAGAACGUGUCUGGCAUUAAGUUGUCGGGAUUGGGAUCCUCAUCGUUUACUGUGAAAAAAUUAGAGUGUUUAAAGCAGGCAUUUGCUGUGAAUACAUUAGCAUGGAAUAAUAAGAUAGGACUUUGGUGCUAUUUUGUUGGUUUGCGUACCAAGGUAAUGAUUAAUAGGGAUAGUUGGGGGUAUUCGUAUUCAAUUGUCAGAGGUGAAAUUCUUGGAUUUAUGGAAGACGAACAACUGCGAAAGCAUUUACCAAGGAUGUUUUCAUUAA